UCCGGCUGUAUUUUAAGAGCGCGCAUAGCAUCUCUGUUUGCUUUAAGAAGUUGAAGGGUCGUUAUUUAGCCUACGGUUUGAACUCCCCGCCAGGACUUCCUUACAGGUUAGAAAACAGAUAUCCGUCUAUGUAAAGAGCUCUUACAAAUUAAGAAGAAAAAAGAUGUCACCCAAAUAAAAAAUAUAAACAAAGAUGUGAACAAGCGCUCCUAAAGAGAACGGACAAUGCGAUCAGUAAGCAUACUGAAAUUUAAUCAAAGGCAUGCAAAAUAGUAUUCAAAUUAUUUUCACGUAUUAAACCAGCAAAAAGAAAAAGUGUAACACCAUUGUCAGGCACUCCUGUACACUGCAGCUUCCUCUUGAAACUUGGAUGCUCAUGCUCCUCAAAGAAAAUAUGAAUUUUAAGAUGAGAAAAAAAUUAGAAGAAAAAAGGAAAAGAUGGUGUGAAAAGCAUAUCUAAAGAGAGUUGGUAUUGCUAAGAGAGAUUUCUAAGAUGGAGCUUGGAGGCCAUUAGGAAGUGUGAUUAAUGCACAGCACAGCCUGGAUGAAAUCUGACCUUUUGACCACUUACUGUCCUAAUGAAGGCAUCCAGAACAUUCGCCAGAAACUCAAGAUACUUAUUGCCCUUACUCUUAAUAUAACUCAUGACACCUAUCUAUUUAUUAGACCCUUACCCUAAAACAACUCGUGACAGCCAUCCCUUAAGGACAAAUAUUUCCUUUCUUGUGUCAGAGUACAGCCUCAUAGCUUUUGCCUUUAUAAGCCUGUGGAUGAAAAAUACUGCAAACCAUAUCAGUAAACAAAGAAUGCUGAAGCCAUCAAGACAUCAGCGGCUGCUACCACCCCCCAGCGAAGACAAGCCUGCAGCCCAGCCUCUGCAGCCAUUCACAACUGUGCCCUCUGAGGGGACUCAGAAUAAGAAAGGACAGGAUACUGGCCCUAGAUAGCUAGAAGCUUGUCAAAGGAAUGAAUUCAAUGAGCCCAAAUAUUUCCUUCCUCCCAUACAUAGAAAAGCACUAAAUUCUUUAACUUGAGAUGCCUGGUUUUCUUUAGAUAACAAGUAGUCUUUUAUUGUUCCAACUACCUGUUCUUUGUUGUAAAGCUCCUAUAUAUCCUAGCUCCUCCCCUACGUCUGAGAAGUCCCUCGGAGCUAUCUGAGAGGCUAUCAUCCCAGCUUGAGUCCUCCUGCCAAAUAAAACAUAACUCAACUUUUAGGCUGCGUGUUUAUUUCAGUCCACAAGCCUGACACUUCCUCUUCCCUAGAACA